GACGAACCCGUGCGAACGUUGUUCGGAAUCACUGGGCUUAAAGGGCGCGUAGGCGGACCACCAAGUCCGGGGUGAAAUCCUCCGGCUUAACCGGAGAAUUGCCUGGGAUACUGGUGGUCUUGAGGGAGGUAGGGGCACGCGGAACUUCCGGUGGAGCGGUGAAAUGCGUUGAUAUCGGAAGGAACGCCGGUGGCGAAAGCGGCGUGCUGGCCCUCUUCUGACGCUGAGGCGCGAAAGCCAGGGGAGCGAACGGGAUUAGAACGUACCUCGU
rnacentral:rRNA from 1 species